CCUACGGGAGGCAGCAGUGAGGAAUAUUGGUCAAUGGGCGCGAGCCUGAACCAGCCAAGUCGCGUGAGGGAUGACGGUCCUACGGAUUGUAAACCUCUUUUGCCGGGGAGCAAGCGUUCGUUAGUGAACGCACGUCGAGAGUACCCGGAGAAAAAGCAUCGGCUAACUCCGUGCCAGCAGCCGCGGUAAUACGGAGGAUGCGAGCGUUAUCCGGAUUUAUUGGGUUUAAAGGGUGCGCAGGCGGAGGUGCAAGUCAGCGGUCAAAUUGCGGGGCUCAACCCCGUACUGCCGUUGAAACUGCAGCCCUUGAGUGCGCGAGAAGUAUGCGGAAUGCGUGGUGUAGCGGUGAAAUGCUUAGAUAUCAGGAGGAACAUCGGUGGCGUAAGCGCUUUACUGGGCCGUAAUUGACGCUGAGGAACGAAAGCCAGGGUAGCAAAUGGGAUUAGAUACCCCAGUAGUC
rnacentral:rRNA from 1 species